CCUACGGGAGGCAGCAGUGGGGAAUUUUGGACAAUGGGCGCAAGCCUGAUCCAGCCAUGCCGCGUGUGGGAAGAAGGCCUUCGGGUUGUAAACCACUUUUGUCAGGGAAGAAACGGCUCUUACUAAUAUUAGGGGCUAAUGACGGUACCUGAAGAAUAAGCACCGGCUAACUACGUGCCAGCAGCCGCGGUAAUACGUAGGGUGCAAGCGUUAAUCGGAAUUACUGGGCGUAAAGCGUGCGCAGGCGGCUUUGCAAGACAGAUGUGAAAUCCCCGGGCUCAACCUGGGAACUGCAUUUGUGACUGCAUGGCUAGAGUACGGUAGAGGGGGAUGGAAUUCCGCGUGUAGCAGUGAAAUGCGUAGAUAUGCGGAGGAACACCGAUGGCGAAGGCAAUCCCCUGGACCUGUACUGACGCUCAUGCACGAAAGCGUGGGGAGCAAACAGGAUUAGAUACCCUGGUAGUCCACGCCCUAAACGAUGUCAACUGGUUGUUGGACGGCUUGCUGUUCAGUACGAGACGUACGCGUGAGUGACGCCGNGGGUAAGGUACGGCCGCGAGUAGUUAACGUUACGAAGGAAGUUAGAGGCGNGAGAGNGCGAGGCGACGACGAGGGAGGAGG
rnacentral:rRNA from 1 species